rnacentral:rRNA from 1 species
UACCAGCUCUCCGAGUAGUGUGGAUGUUUAUUGGGCCUAAAGCAUCCGUAGCUUGCUAAGCAAGUCCCCUGUUAAAUCCACCGAUUCAAUCGGUGGAUUGCGGGGGAUACUGUUUGGCUAGGGGACGGGAGAGGCCGACGGUAUUUCCGGGGUAGGGGUGAAAUCCUAUAAUCCCGGGAAGACCACCAGUGGCGAAGGCUGUCGGCUAGAACGCGCCCGACGGUGAGGGAUGAAAGCUGGGGGAGCGAACCGGAUUAGAUACCCGGGUAGUCCCAGCUGUAAACGAUGCAGGCUAGGUGUUUGGGCGGCCACGAGCCGCUCUAGUGCCGCAGGGAAGCUAUUAAGCCUGCCGCCUGGGGAGUACGGCCGCAAGGCUGAAACUUAAAGGAAUUGGCGGGGGAGCACCACAAGGGGUGAAGCUUGCGGUUU